rnacentral:rRNA from 1 species
ACGGAAUAGAUACCCUGGUAGUCCACGCCCUAAACGAUGUCAACUGGUUGUUGGGAAUUCAUUUUCUCAGUAAACGAAAGCUAAACGCGUGAAGUUGACCGCCUGGGGAGUACGGCCGCAAGGCUAAAACUCAAAGGAAUUGACGGGGACCCGCACAAGCGGUGGAUGAUGUGGUUUAAUUCGAUGCAACGCGAAAAACCUUACCCACCUUUGACAUNGUACGGAACUUGCCAGAGAUGGCUUGGUGCCCGAAAGGGAGCCGUAACACAGGUGCUGCAUGGCUGUCGUCAGCUCGUGUCGUGAGAUGUUGGGUUAAGUCCCGCAACGAGCGCAACCCUUGCCAUUAGUUGCUACGAAAGGGCACUCUAAUGGGACUGCCGGUGACAAACCGGAGGAAGUGGGGAUGACGUCAAGUCCUCAUGGCCCUUAUAGGUGGGGCUACACACGUCAUACAAUGGCUGGUACAGAGGGUUUGCCAACCCGGCGAGGGGUAGCUAAUCCCACAAAGCCAGUCGUAGUCCGGAUCGCAGUCUGCAACUCG